rnacentral:misc_RNA from 1 species
CCAAACUUGGUCAUUUAGAGGAAGUAAAAGUCGUAACAAGGUUUCCGUAGGUGAACCUGCGGAAGGAUCAUUAGUGAAUGAACUUGGUCAAGCUGUUGCUGGCCUCUUAGGGGGCAUCGUGCACGCUUGAUCCUUGUUUCCAACCACCUGUGCACCUUUUGUAGGCUUGGAGUUUUUAUUAGGGGUUGCUGCCGUUUUUAUUUCAUGAAAGCCAGCUCUCCUUGUUGCUCCGGUCUAUGUCUUUUCACAUACCCAAAUGUAUCAGAAUGUUCAUUAGGCAUUUGAUGCCUUUAAUAUGUACAACUUUCAACAACGGAUCUCUUGGCUCUCGCAUCGAUGAAGAACGCAGC